rnacentral:sRNA from 1 species
CCGGGGCAGCUGUCCCCUGGCGUGCAGUUCCAGCGGCGGCAGAACCAGCGCCGCUUCUCCAUGGAGGACGUCAGCAAGAGGCUCUCUCUGCCCAUGGAUAUCCGCCUGCCCCAGGAAUUCCUACAGAAGCUACAGAUGGAGAGCCCAGAUCUGCCCAAGCCGCUCAGCCGCAUGUCCCGCCGGGCCUCCCUGUCAGACAUUGGCUUUGGGAAACUGGAAACAUACGUGAAACUGGACAAACUGGGAGAGGGCACCUAUGCCACAGUCUUCAAAGGGCGCAGCAAACUGACGGAGAACCUUGUGGCCCUGAAAGAGAUCCGGCUGGAGCACGAGGAGGGAGCGCCCUGCACUGCCAUCCGAGAGGUGUCUCUGCUGAAGAACCUGAAGCACGCCAAUAUUGUGACCCUGCAUGACCUCAUCCACACAGAUCGGUCCCUCACCCUGGUGUUUGAGUACCUGGGGUCAGCGUGGGGCAGGACUGAGCCACGCUCUGUGUUCCAGGACAGUGACCUGAAGCAGUAUCUGGACCACUGUGGGAACCUCAUGAGCAUGCACAACGUCAAGAUUUUCAUGUUCCAGCUGCUCCGGGGCCUCGCCUACUGUCACCACCGCAAGAUCCUGCACCGGGACCUGAAGCCCCAGAACCUGCUCAUCAACGAGAGGGGGGAGCUGAAGCUGGCCGAUUUUGGACUGGCCAGGGCCAAGUCAGUGCCCACAAAGACUUACUCCAAUGAGGUGGUGACCCUGUGGUACAGGCCCCCCGAUGUGCUGCUGGGAUCCACAGAGUACUCCACCCCCAUUGAUAUGUGGGGCGUGGGCUGCAUCCACUACGAGAUGGCCACAGGGAGGCCCCUCUUCCCGGGCUCCACAGUCAAGGAGGAGCUGCACCUCAUCUUUCGCCUCCUCGGGACCCCCACAGAAGAGACGUGGCCCGGCGUGACCGCCUUCUCUGAGUUCCGCACCUACAGCUUCCCCUGCUACCUCCCGCAGCCGCUCAUCAACCACGCGCCCAGGUUGGAUACGGAUGGCAUCCACCUCCUGAGCAGCCUGCUCCUGGUGAGUGUCCUCCCGGCGGGGCCCAGGGAGAGGCAGCCAAAGAGCCAAGUCCCUGUGCCCCAUGCCGGGCCUACGCCCCAACUUCUGUGGCUCGUGUGCUUACACGUCUUUGAAACAUCUCCCCUGUACUCUCCACCCCCAAGGCCAAGGGGUGGCCUCCAUACGCAUCCUCUGGAGUCUGUGCACUGCGAGCCCAAACCCGUUACUUAGCUGUGUAGCUCUGGGCAAGUUACAGAGCUCCUCCAUGCCUCAGUUUCCUCAGCUGCAAAGUGGGAUUAAUACCUAUUUUAUAAGAUGGCCGUGAGGAUACAUUGAGAUGACGGGACACACUUAGUGUGGUGCCUGCCUUGUAAGGCACACGAUGAAGGGUUGUUAUCGGCACUACGCUUCCUGUUACGGAUGUUCUCCAUCUGAUCAUGGUUGGUUUGCAUCUGUAUUUCUAUCCCAAGAGAA